rnacentral:rRNA from 1 species
CCUACGGGAGGCGGCAGUGAGGAAUAUUGGUCAAUGGACGAGAGUCUGAACCAGCCAAGUAGCGUGAAGGAUGACUGCCCUAUGGGUUGUAAACUUCUUUUAUAAAGGAAUAAAACGAGGCACGUGUGCCUUUUUGCAUGUACUUUAUGAAUAAGAAUCGGCUAACUCCGUGCCAGCAGCCGCGGUAAUACGGAGGAUCCGAGCGUUAUCCGGCUUGAUUGGGUUUAAAGGGAGCGUAGAUGGGUUGUUAAGUCAGUUGUGAAAGUUUGCGGCUCAACCGUAAAAUUGCAAUUGAUACUGGCAGUCUUGAGUACAGUUGAGGUAGGCGGAAUUCGUGGUGUAGCGGUGAAAUGCUUAGAUAUCACGAAGAACCCCGAUUGCGAAGGCAGCUUACUAAACUGUGACUGACAUUGAUGCUCGAAAGUGUGGGUAUCAAACAGGAUUAGAUACCCGAGUAGUC